AUGCCUUAAACUUAUGAGUAAGGAAAAUAACGAUUCGGGGUGAUGCCCGAAUUCUCACUGCUAAUGUGAGAUGAAUUUUUGAGUGGGUAAAGGUUGCCCCUAAGGUGACCCGUCUACUUUGCAAAACGCCUGGGAUUUUCAAUCUGCCCG
rnacentral:snRNA from 1 species